rnacentral:rRNA from 1 species
GAUGAGCGCUGGCGGCGUGCCUAAUACAUGCAAGUCGAGCGAACAGAUGAGGAGCUUGCUCCUCUGACGUUAGCGGCGGACGGGUGAGUAACACGUGGAUAACCUACCUAUAAGACUGGGAUAACUUCGGGAAACCGGAGCUAAUACCGGAUAAUAUAUUGAACCGCAUGGUUCAAUAGUGAAAGACGGUUUUGCUGUCACUUAUAGAUGGAUCCGCGCCGCAUUAGCUAGUUGGUAAGGUAACGGCUUACCAAGGCAACGAUGCGUAGCCGACCUGAGAGGGUGAUCGGCCACACUGGAACUGAGACACGGUCCAGACUCCUACGGGAGGCAGCAGUAGGGAAUCUUCCGCAAUGGGCGAAAGCCUGACGGAGCAACGCCGCGUGAGUGAUGAAGGUCUUCGGAUCGUAAAACUCUGUUAUUAGGGGAGAACAAAUGUGUAAGUAACUAUGCACGUCUUGACGGUACCUAAUCAGAAAGCCACGGCUAACUACGUG